UACGGGGGGGGCAAGCGUUGUUCGGAAUUACUGGGCGUAAAGGGCGCGUAGGCGGCCUGCUAAGUCGGACGUGAAAUCCCUCGGCUCAACCGGGGAACUGCGUCCGAUACUGGUGGGCUCGAAUCCGGGAGAGGGAUGUGGAAUUCCAGGUGUAGCGGUGAAAUGCGUAGAUAUCGGGAGGAACACCUAUGGCGAAGGCAGCUCGCUGGGACGUUACUGACGCUGAGACGCGAAAGCUAGGGGAGCGAACGGG
rnacentral:rRNA from 1 species